CCUCACCUUGCUCAAGUGCCCGUUUGCGCCUUGCACCAAAGCUCUAGGACCCCUUAGCGCGCCUUAAGUUUUUAAUAACUAUAAUAUAUACAAUAAGCCCAAAUCCAUAGUAGUGAUAUUAAGGUUUGCAUUUAUCAACCAAAAAGAGAAUGCAAGUGCGAAGGAUCGAGUAAAUUUAAAGCAUCACUUGAGAAUCCAAGCUACAAGCUACAAGUUGCGAGCUUUCUUCAAGAGCAUUGCAAAUGUAAUGAGGUUUCAAUUUUAGGGACUUUGGUUUGGCAAAUCAACCAAGGCAAUGUAAUUAAACUUGGACCAGACAUUGAUCCCGAGGAGGGACUAGGUGGAUGGGUCACUAGUUCAAUCGGCGUGUUGAGUCAGAUAAUAUUAAUUAGAUGUUUAUUAAUUAAAUAUUACUAAUUUA
rnacentral:misc_RNA from 1 species